AUGUGGCCACAGCCCAUAUUCACAUUUAUUAUUCUUUCCUGUGGUUUAUCAUGUUUUUUUUUUUUUAUGACAUUCCUUUCUGCAGCUCUAACAUCAGUGACUGCCUCCUCAUCUGCAACCCCACUGGGGCCCACUGAGCCUGGAAGCACCACAGCUCCUGUGUCAACUGCAUUCACCCCAGAACCAGCUCUGGUUCCUUCACUGAUGUCCAUCACCACAGCCAGUGGCCAUAGCCUGGAGGCUUUCACACUGAACUUCACCAUCACCAACCUGCUGUACACAGCAGAUAUGGGAAACACUGGUUCCAGUAAAUUCAACACAACAGAGAAAAUCCUGCAGCACCUGGUAAGAUGCAACCUACUACAUAUACAUUUCUCCUUUAUUCCCUACUUGCAAGGUUUCUUUCUGCAUAUCUUAGACUCAAGGCCCUGCUUGUUUCAUAAUAUGUAA
rnacentral:lncRNA from 1 species